CCUAGUAGCGGCGAGCGAAGCGGGAAGAGCUCAAAUUUAUAAUCUGGCACCUUCGGUGUCCGAGUUGUAAUCUCUAGAAAUGUUUUCCGCGUUGGACCGCACACAAGUCUGUUGGAAUACAGCGGCAUAGUGGUGAGACCCCCGUAUAUGGUGCGGACGCCCAGCGCUUUGUGAUACAUUUUCGAAGAGUCGAGUUGUUUGGGAAUGCAGCUCAAAUUGGGUGGUAAAUUCCAUCUAAAGCUAAAUAUUGGCGAGAGACCGAUAGCGAACAAGUACCGUGAGGGAAAGAUGAAAAGCACUUUGGAAAGAGAGUUAACAGUACGUGAAAUUGUUGGAAGGGAAACGCUUGAAGUCAGACUUGCUUGCCGAGCAAUCGGUUUGCAGGCCAGCAUCAGUUUUCCGGGAUGGAUAAUGGUAGAGAGAAGGUAGCAGUUUCGGCUGUGUUAUAGCUCUCUGCUGGAUACAUCUUGGGGGACUGAGGAACGCAGUGUGCCUUUGGCGGGGGUUUCGACCUCUUCACACUUAGGAUGCUGGUGGAAUGGCUUUAAACGACCCGUCUUG
rnacentral:rRNA from 1 species